rnacentral:sRNA from 1 species
UGAUGUGCUUGCGCCGAUGCGUUGGUAU